GACAGAGGGGGCAAGCGUUGCUCGGAAUCACUGGGCGUAAAGGGCGCGUAGGCGGGAUGGCAAGUCAGUCGUGAAAUCUCUCGGCUCAACCGAGAAACGUCGGCUGAUACUGCCGUUCUUGAGGGAUGCAGAGGAGACUGGAAUUCCCGGUGUAGCGGUGAAAUGUGUAGAGAUCGGGAGGAACACCGGUGGCGAAGGCGGGUCUCUGGGCAUUUCCUGGACGCUGAGGCGGCGAAAGCCGUGGGGAGCAAACGGG
rnacentral:rRNA from 1 species